GACGAACGCUGGCGGCAUGCCUAAUACAUGCAAGUCGAACGCAGUGGGGACGGGUGAGUAACACGUGGGUAACCUCCCAUCAGAGGGGAUAACACUUGGAAACAGGUGCUAAACCGAUACGGGUGGAUGGACCCGAGGUGCAUUAGCUAGUUGGUGCGGUAACGGCUCACCAAGGCCACGAUGCAUAGCAGACCUGAGAGGGUGAUCGGCCACAAUGGGACUGAGACACGGCCCAGACUCCUACGGGAGGCAGCAGGAGGGAAGCUUCGGCAAUGGACGAAAGGCUGACCGAGCAACGCGGCGUGAGUGAAGAAGGCUUUCGGGUCGUAAAACUCUGUUGUUAGAGAAGCGUUAUCUACACAGAAAGCCACGGCUAACUACGUGCCAGCAGCCGCGGUAAUAC
rnacentral:rRNA from 1 species